rnacentral:misc_RNA from 1 species
GAUGAAGAACGCAGCGAAAUGCGAUAAGUAAUGUGAAUUGCAGAAUUCAGUGAAUCAUCGAAUCUUUGAACGCACAUUGCGCCCGCCAGUAUUCUGGCGGGCAUGCCUGUUCGAGCGUCAUUACAACCCUCAGGCCCCCGGGCCUGGCGUUGGGGAUCGGCGGAGCCCCCCGUGGCACACGCCGUCCCCCAAAUGCAGUGGCGGUCCCGCCGCAGCUUCCAUCGCGUAGUAGCUAACACCUCGCGACUGGAGAGCGGCGCGGCCACGCCGUAAAACACCCAACUCUUCUGAAGUUGACCUCGAAUCAGGUAGGAAUACCCGCUGAACUUAAGCAUAUCAAUAAGCGGAGGA